GAGACUAAAGUGCCCAAAGUACCAGCCAAGAAGAAAGAACCUAGCAAAAGGGCUGCUGCUGCACAGAAGAAGAAGCCCUUGGCAACUGUUUCGGAGAUAUCUGAUGAUGAUGAUGAUGAUUAAACUGGCUUUAAUGACAUUGAUGAUGAUGAUGAUGAUGAUGAUGAAGAUAGUGAGAUAGAAGUUGUAGCUACUCCAGAAGCGAGGAAAAAGGGCGGGGAAAACUGGCUGCAAAUGCUAAGGCAGUUAAGGCCCCUACAGCGGCAAAGAAGAGAGGUGCAGCGAAUAAGCAGCAGCCUCAGACAUUGGCCCAGAAGCUUUUAACUGACAUGUUAAAGCCUGCUGAAAAUUCCAGGAUUUCACUGGAGAAGAAAGUGAGAAAGAUGAGGGCAUCUCCAUUCAACAAGAAAAGUGGUUCUGUGUUGGGAAGGGUUGGUAAGGUAAAUGAAGUGACUGAAAAUGAAGAAAAUUCGGGUUCUGCUUCUACUUCUGCCAGUACUGAAGAAACUAUUGAAGUUGCACCAGCAAGAGCAAGACCUCAAAGGGUGAACCAAGUUAGAAAACAAGAAAGAGUAUGACAGAAUAUGAUCCGCGUCUUCUGGCUCCAACCUGCUUGUACCUGGCAUCAAAAGCAGCAGAAAGCACAGUGCAGGCUCAAAGUCUUGUAUUUUACCUUAAAAAAUUAUCUGCUGAUGAAAAGUAUGACUCAAUUAACUUGGUGCUAUGGGCCAGGUAGUUGCCCAUCAAAGAGGGUCGCAUGGGCUAGAGAAUUGAUAGACGAAGAAGCAGAACAGUUCCUCAUGCCUCGUUUCAUUGACCCAGAUUCAGAAAGACCUUGGCUUGCCCAAAGAAUGGCCUUGAGGAUACCAUAUUCUGCGUAAAGUUAAUGGAAGGAGACCUGCUUAUGCUUCCCAGCAACUAAUAUAAGAUCUGCAUAAUACGUUUUAUUUUUAAGUCUUUGAUUGGUCAAGUUAUGAGAGAAUAGCAUGGUGCCUUUUGAUGUAUGAACUUCCUCUAUAGAUUGUUUGGCUUAUAUUUUGUGAACUUGUCCGAUCAA